UACGUAGGGGGCAAGCGUUGUCCGGAAUCAUUGGGCGUAAAGCGCGCGUAGGCGGCCCGGUAAGUCCGUUGUGAAAGUCAAAGGCUCAACCUUUGAACGCCGAUGGAUACUGCCGGGCUAGAGUCCGGAAGAGGCGAGUGGAAUUCCUGGUGUAGCGGUGGAAUGCGCGGAUAUCUGGAGGAACACCGGUGGCGAAGGCGGCGAGUCCUGGACCGGGAUUGACA
rnacentral:rRNA from 1 species